CCUGAUCAAUAUAGGAGGUCCAGCCUGCCCAGUGACUCUGUUCAACGGCCGCGGUAUCCUAACCGUGCGAAGGUAGCGUAAUCACUUGUUCUUUAAAUGAGGACUAGUAUGAAUGGCAUCACGAGGGUUAUACUGUCUCCUUUUCCAAAUCAGUGAAACUAAUCCCCCCGUGAAGAAGCGGGGAUAAAAAUAUAAGACGAGAAGACCCUAUGGAGCUUAAAACUUUCAACAAUUAUAUUUUCCUCAUAAACCUAAAGGUAAUUAAAUCAAUCUUUAUAAUAUGUUUGUUAGUUUUCGGUUGGGGUGACCGCGGAGUAAAACUUAUCCUCCAUAUUGAAUUAAAUAUUCUUCUUAGCAAAAAACUACAAUUUUAUGCAUCAAAAAAUUGACAUUAUUGACCCAAUAUUUUGAUCAACGAAC
rnacentral:rRNA from 1 species